AGAGAUUAUAAAUCCACGAAGAUUUCAAUUUGAUUCGUUUAUGAACAUAUUCUGCACUUUUCGAAUCCGAGCGUUCAAAACGCGGGUCGCUAUUUGAAAAUCAUCCAACAUGGACACGACGCUUGUUUACGGUAAGUACGCAACAAGAGUGAAAUUUUAAUAUUUGUAAAUAUCCCUGGAUUCCGUGUGUUUCUCUUUAUUGAACGAUUGUCCUUGUCUAGAACCUUCCAAAAUUGUCGAUUCAUUAUAAAAAAAAAAAAUCAUCUAUAUAAUGUAAGUUAUGCAGUUAUGAUUUGGGUUCGGGACUAAUUGCAUUUAAAAUUCGCAAAAAAACACUUAAAACGUCAAAAAAGCAUUGAAAAAAAGCACUUCAAGCAUAUAUUAUUAGACCAAAAGUUAGAAAGAUUUAAGUUUAGACGGCCUCCCUCUAACGGCUUUAACUUAUUAAAUACAAUUUUUCAACACCAAAGUUAUUAUUAUUUUUUUUUUUCAUAAUACGUACAAUUUUAUUUAAACAAAAAAAAAGUGCUAUAAUUGAAAAUCGAAGCGAAAUCGCUGGUAGAAAAGUUGUUCGCAAAAAAAUAAGUAAUAAAAUAAACAUCAUUGUAAAACCAACACAUUCCUAAGAUUAUCGGUAUUUGCGGAUCACUAUGAAGUAUCAUGUGUAAUAAGCGCGUUGAAGCGAAAAAAAUACAUGUACAUUAUACAUACAUGUUUUAAUAAUAAGCCACCCGCCCCCCCCCCAUUAAGAAAAUUACACGCUGCGUACUUUUGUUUUGAAAAGAAAAAAACCGUUUUAACGCACGAUCGCAGCGAAAACAGAAUGUAAUAUUUGAGAGAGUUGCAAUAUCGUACGAGACGCGUGAUAAAUAUAUUUUUUAUUCAAAUACCUAUCACGACACACGCCUUGGUUUUAGACGGUCUCGGUUUUCGGAUGUACGUAAAAUACCACGAAUUUUAUCCUAAAAAAAAAAAAACCCCAUCUCCGCUCGCCAUUAAAAUAUUAUACAAAAUAAUAAUUAUACAACUCAUACGCAUUUUAAAAUGUGUUCAUGCUUAAGUGUUUGGCACGCGUGUCGAAUUUUAUAGUUCGUCCAACACGUUUUACGAAUGCGCCCAUAUGAUAUUUGCCAUUUUAAAUCAAUAUUUUUUUUUUUUUUUUUAUGGUAAAAUAUCUCAUUUUACGUUAUUUGUCGGUAAACAAAAUACUUUUUCUUCGGUUUCUAGACAAUCCCUGUCAUACAUCCGGUAAUUCACCGUUCUUCUGUAUCCAUAGAUUUUACUGUCCGGUUCGAACUAACACCUGCAUGAAAUAAUUCCGCAUUAAUGUUUUAUUAUACAUCUUUAAUGUUUCCCAUAUUGCAAUUCUCUCCUCCUUGUUACGUCUACCAUACAUCGCUAGUACUCUCGCACAAGGCACUGCAUUUGUCGUCCUUAUCUCCGCUGUCGUCGCCUAUAUCUCCGUAGUUCUUGGUCGACCCGGAGAUUUUCCACGAGAUUCAAACGAGAUACUAUUGAUGUUUUUGCACAAAUAAUAUCGUAUUAUUCCCGAGGUAAAAAAUAAUUGUUGUUAUUGUCGCGCAGAUAUUGAUUUGCAAUAUCGUAUGCGAUUUCACUCGCGUAGGUAGAUAUAGUGGGUACCAACUAUAUACUUAUACUUUUAUGCUUGAAAUUAAUUACCUAUAUUAUUCUCGGAGUGCCCGCCGGACGUUUAUUAUUGAAAUCGAUAAAUAUUUUCGCGAUUACCAGAGAUUCUCUUGUUUAUGAAGAUAGCGUAUACAGAUAUAAUCGAAUACAAUAAUAUCAUGCACAUUUCGACCAUGUCGAAUUAUUGUUUGCGUGCAAUCAAAAAUAAUGUCUAAUAAUAUACUCGACAAUUAUACACGUAGGUGUAUAGGCACGCGUAGUGCAAUCGACAAAAAAAUAAUUCCAUAUCAAAUGCCGAUUAACGUUUAUAAGAAAAAAAAAUAUGACCUCGUCUAGUCGUUUAUCGGCGCGAAACAACCAUAAAUAAGUAAUUAGAAUACUCGCGAAAGAAGAAUUAAUUACUCGAAAUUAGUGGUAGACAAAAGUUUGAUUAAUCCGCAUUUCGGAUUAGAAAAACUCUGUAAUCCGAACAUAAAACCCGGUAGGAUUUGAUUGCGGGCAUUCCGGAAAUUUAAAAUAGAAAUGGAACGACCGCGUAACUUUUGUAAUAAUUUAAAAUUUGUAAAUAAACCGAUUUUUUUAAUAUCUGAAUCGAUAACAUCAAUUCGGAUUGUCGUGUUUUGGUCAAUCCGGAUCAGUUAUCCGGAUUAUGUGCUCUGCACUAGAUUAUGUAGGGUAUUCGAAAUGUUAAAAAGUUCAGGUGCCAGGUUAAUUCGAACCGUUUACUUAAAUUUUGACUUUUUAUUAUUCAUUCAACUUAUUAGCAUAUUUUGAAUUUUUCGAAUUAUAGACUACGGUAAAUUAAUUUCAAUUAUUUUUAACACAAUGUUAAAUUUAUCACAAUCUAUAAUUUGAAUAAACGUAAAAGUCGUAUGAAUAAUACGAUUUUUUUUUUCUUAUUCAAUAGUGCGUGCGGAGUAAUACGUAUAAUUUGCAGAUAUUUACUGAAUAAGCCCUCUUUGACGUUUAACAUUAAUAACCCUAAUUUUCAAAAAAAAAAAAAUAAUAAUAAUAAUAAUAAAUAGAAACUCUACGUCGAAUCUCUGAAAAUAGUACAAGAAACGAAAAUAAUAAACUUGCCCCACUCACAGUGAAUAAGUAAGUGAAAUGUUCACAUGAACCCUUAGUCUUAUGUAAUAAAACGGUUAACCAAAUUAAAUUGUUAAAUUUUUUUUCGGUUCCAUUCUUAACCGCGAGUUAAUAUUAUUCAAUAACUCGGCCGUCCUUGGUAACCCAUCACUUUCACCCCGUUAUUUUCGGUCGACUGCGUAUAACGAUGCAUACAAGUACACGCAGGAGGAUUUUUCGAUUCCUUUACCAGGAGCUGAUAAAAUAAAAUCCACGAAUCCUACAUUAUGACGAGCUUAUUAGUUUUACAAAUUCACACGAAACGCCAAAAAAACUCGUAGUUUUAUAAUAUUUCAUAAAAUUACUGAAGAAUUGUAUAACUGAUAUCCAACACUAAUAACAUUGGUUAUUGAUAGGGAUCGGAUGUUUAUUAAAUUGUAUAUUUUUUUCUAUUUAUCCAAUUUAAUGCUGACCUGGUUACAAAUUUGAUUCAUGUCCUUCUGAAUCAAAUAACAUCACUUUUAUCUUACAUAUUUUAACAUAUUUGCAUAUUUCAGUACAUUUUAAAACUUUUUAAAAAAUAAUUUAAAUUAAUAACGAGCAAUAAAGCAGAAAUGCAAAAAAUUUGAACAAAUUAAACAACGACAUUGUAUCACUGCAGUACAUCACAGUAACGCUUUCAUUGUAAAUGUAUAUGUUAUAUUAAAAAAAAAAAAAUAAAUACAAAUAACUACUAAAUAACUACUAACAGACAUUAAAUACUAAAGGUAAAAUAAAUUUUGUCACGCAUAUUUUGGUGUAUUUCAGCUAAAAGCGCAUAUUUUGAUUGCAUAUUAUUUGGUAAUUUUUUAGCGCAUAAACGCAUACGUAUUACAGUUAUUUUUAGUGCAUAAACAUCCGAACCCUAAUUACUGAUACGAAAUUUGUUUGUUUCCCCCCCCCCCCACCGGAGAUAUUCGCCGUGUUUUAAAAAAGUGAACAUACGUCCUAUAAUCUAGCAAUUCCUAUAUAAUCCGUACUACUUAAUUGUACAUCGUCCAGCGUUGUUCGCGCGGGAGCGGAAGUGUCUGCGACAUUUCAAACCGCGUAAAACAAUACUAUUUACCGCGGCUCUGUCAUUGUAAACGCAUCGUGUAGUAGGAUAUUUACGAGUCUGCGAUGUAUAAUAACAUAAUAUCACAGGACGAGCGAUUUUUUUUUUUUUUUAUUAUCAUUUUUUUCCGGUUUAGAUGUUAUGAUACACGCCCGUGUGCACCGAGUCACGUUUCUCGUGUACCGCGUCGUAUUACUAUAUCUUUUGGAUAAUUUUUUUUUUUAUUAUUAUUAUAAAUAAUACGGUUGUUUAUUAAGCGCAAUAAACGAUUGUCGGUAUUAUUGUAUUUCGAUAAUCGGCGUCCGUUUGACGCACGUGGGAAAACGCGACGGCCGCGGUCCUGCGGCAGCCGGCGCGCGUGAUAUUGCGAUUUAAUGGUUUUUUCGGACACGCGCGGUAUCCGCGGUUGCAGCGUACCGCAAACGCGGUUAAAUAACGAUUAGUAAUGUCCGUAAUGGUAUUCCCGGUACGUAAAAAAAAAAAAAAAAAAAAAAAAAAAAAAAAAAUAUUAAACUCCCGGAGCGUAGAAAUCUGUGCGGCGUCGUAAACGUUUUCGAAUUUCGAAUGUUUCGUCAAUACGGAUCGCGACGGCGCCGGUCUUGUUUAGUAUUCAAACAAUUGUGUGUAAAUUGUAUUUUUCGGUAUUUCAAAUAUUUUAAAAGUGCAUAUUUUUUUUUUUUAAUCGAAAUUUUAUUACGGACUGUGAAAUACUUUUGUCCGCGUUAUUAUAAUGUAUUCGUAUUUUAUGAUUUUAUUCAAUUUUAAACGCUUCUAAAAUAAUAUUUCACAACGGUUCUAAGACCCAACCUAAUACGCUCGGUUUAGUGGCGUACCCAGGAUUUUACAAUGGGGGGGGGGGAGACAGGGGGCUUGACUAAAAAAAAUGUUUCAUGAAACACAUAAUUGUGCGGUACAAUUAUUGUUUGAACUUAGAUGAAUAAGAAGUACAAAUACACAAUGAUUGUUACUCUAUAAGUAAUAAUUUACCGAUCCUGAAUAGUUUAUAUUACAUGUUUGUACUUGACACUGCCGAUGGAUGGGGGGAGGGGGCUAAAGCUCCCUUAGCCCUUCCGCCGUGUACCUACGUCACCGGCUCUUUUACUAACAUAAUUUAUCAGUGCGUUACGAAUAAUAUACAACGUCUAAACUUCUUGAACCCAUUUUCAUUAAAUAUCCAUAUUCAUUUAAAUCCAGUUCGUGAGUUUUCUCAGGGCUUGAUAAAAAUGUAUCACGUCGAAUAAUUUGUUUUUACUGUUCGAGAGUAUACGCGGUAUACCCGUGAUUUUCAAGAAAAUGUUGAAAUACAUGUGGAGGAACUAUGCUACUAUGUCCUAUAGGUACGCUACUGGACAAUUUAACUAUCAUUUUUAUACCGUAUUUUGCAAUUUCGACUAUAUCUACUCUUACACUAUUCGAAUAUUCGUAUGGUGACUCGCGUACGCCGAGGGCCACGCCAAUAAACGGAACACCGUCCCAGUGCUCGUUAAUGUCGAGUAUUAAUGCGAUUUUUUUUGAUUUUCUUCUGGUUUUUUUCCGCCCGCCGUGCAAAAAUCGUGCGACGAAUCGUCCGAGCGAUGUCCUUUUGGUCAAUUUUUUCUGUACCUAUAAUAUUGUUUUUAUUCGGUGAAAAAAUCAUCUGCCGAACGCCGCGCAACAGAACGACCGGUUAUACACCAUAUCGUUUUCAUCGCGUUUAUAUAAUAAAAUAAAAAACAUUAUAGUCUCUUUAUAAACGAUUUUUUUUUUUAUUGGUGAAGACGACUGUAUGCGCACCUAUAUAUGUACCGAAAAACAAAAACGUCUGGACUCGAUUGGUUGCUACGAGGCUUAUCGCGAAACGAGUCCAAAAUCUCGCAGUUAUAUAGUACCUCGACAAUAAUCUAAAUUCCGAUGUGAAAGUAUUGCAGUUUAACACGCAAAAAACCACUUGCAUUAAUAUCAAUAAUGUUAUUUUGGUUUUACAACGUUUAUUUUUACUUUUAUUUUUUUUUACCUGUGAACAACUUUUAUAUUAGCAAUUUUGCUCCGAUUUACAAUGAUAACACUUUUUCUGAAAGGAAAUCUGACUAGGACGGUAUUUUAAUAAGGUCAUUUUUCGAUUUUUCCCAAGAGUUUUCCUAACAAAUGUGAAAAACCAGGAAACACGUGGAAAAACGGAAAUUAAGUACAAUAUUAAACAAAUAUUGUUGAAAAAAUAUACAAUGCAUCUGAAAUUAUUUUACUAUAAUAUGACACAUAUAUAGUGAUUUUUUUUAUCAAGAACCAGAAAUUAUCUAGAAGGAUUUUAAGUGAAUUUAAUUUUUGUUUUUUCUAAUCAUUAAGGAAUCGUUAUCCUGUCUACUGCUUUUUUUUAAAAAAAAUUAAGGUCAAAUCUUCGUGUCUAAUAAAUUUAUUUUAGAUUCUGAGCGAGAGAUCGAUUGGUUUUACUAUGACAAGUGGUUUUUUUUUUCUCUCUAUAAAAUGUCGUUUUUCGAACAGAAAACUUACUCCAAUCGAAAAACGACAGUAGACCUUUUUCGGUUGGCUUUUUGGAUCUAGUCGGUGUAUUACAGGGGUCACUUUUCGAUUUUCCAAAGGGUUUUGAAAAUCAUCGGGAAAAACCGGAAACAAAAUUUUAUAGGAAAAACGGCGCGUAUUUGCGGCAGUAUCAGCUCACAUUUUUCUUCUUUCUAAAUACCGCGACAAUAAUAUAAUAUUAUUGCAUCACCUAAUAACCUAAUUUUCGAGUUGAAAAUCGUGUCUACGGUCUUAAAGGGGUUAAGUUUUUUAAUUUUUUUUGAGAGACGAACGUUUUAUAAUAAUUUCGUCCUUGGCCAAAACCGACGGGAAUUCGAACGAAACGCGUACACACCAGAAUAAUAUUAUAAUAUACCUAUAUACGAAAUGAUAAUGUGAAAUUUAUGUAACGAAAUAAUUAUUAUAUUAUGUUUUUUUUUUUUUUUUUUUUUUUGUCGAAAACGCGCUACACACGCGCAUAAUAAUAUAAUAUUAAUUCGUUACCCGCGCCCGUAUACGGGGGUUUUCGGACACGCGGUAUUAACGGUAACGUCAUUCCGAUCGUAUAAUAAACUGACGGUAUAAUAUUAUACACGGUACUUUAUACACGCGUUCGUCUUUAUAAUCCUAAUAACGAAUAUUUAUGACCGAUGACUAAAGCGACGGCCGCGCAUCGCAUUGAAUGAUGUGCCGUAGACAAUUUUUUUAUUUUUUUUAUAUAUAUAUAUACAUAAUAUAUUGUACGUUGUGUAUGUAAAUGUGUGUGCAUAACGUAUACGAAAGAAGAAAUAAGUACGCGCGACUGCGAACACGAACCGGACGCCCCUGGACAAUCCGCUGAACACGGGUGGCGCGUCGAAUGUUUCGGCCGUUACGGCAAACCUAUUACCUAUUAUGUAGUAUUUUCAAUAAUAAUGAUGAUAUUAAUAAUAUAUACCGACGGUUGUUUUCGCCGACCGUAACGUAAACAGAGAAUCGCACAGGCAGGUAUACACAACAGGUGUACAAUACGGGCGCACUGUAUGGGUAUAACCUGUAUAGGAUGCAUCCGAACAUCAGUUCUCGAGCUCGAAACCCGCAAGCCGAAUCGGUUCCCGUUUUUUUUUUUUUUUUUUUUUUUUAUUUCAAGCGUAUUUUUUGACAUUUUAAGUGUAUUUUUAGGUUUUUAAACCAUUUAAUCUUCUUUUUGCAAACCUCAUAGUGCACACAGGCGUGAAGGGUUAACAAACAACCAUCCGUCGAUCUAAACAAACGAUAUUAAAAAGGAUUACAUAAGAAAUAAUAAUACUAUGCAGUUAUGAAAAUUUGUUUAGCCAGUCUUUUUUUCAUAUAAAUUAAUCAUCAACUAUACAUACACGCAAGUAGUAUGAUGCAACAAAGUCUUCCAACACGUUUUUUUUUUUUUUUCACACCGAUUGGACUGAAAAAUAAAUAGAAACCUUCUUUCUAGCCAAACAAAUCGAUUAAUUAAAACCUUAUUCUGAAAUUCGCAAUCGCUUGAAAGCGUGUAGUAUGAGCGGACGGACUUAGAUUCUAUUACUGUAAUGAGUUUAAAAAAAAAAAAAAAAAUUGUCUCUUGAUAAGCACUGCUCUACCCGUAUACUUGCUCUAAUCGAAAAAUGGCAAGAGACCUUUUCAGUUGCGUUUUAGAUUCAUUUGGUAAAUAAGAAUGUUGUGUUUUGAUUUUCUUAACCGUUUUUAUAAUAAUUCGGAAAAUCCAGGAAAAGACGUGAUAGAAAAACCGAUGAAUAAUCUGCAUCGAUAAUUUAAUGUAUUUUACAUUGUAUGUAGUUUCUGAGUGAGAAAAUCGUCUUUGAUGUUCUAUGUUACUUUUUUAACAAUUGAGGAAAACCGGGUAACAACUUGGGGCAUUCGGAAAUGUUUACCAGAAUAACGGUCUCACUAUUUUCAAUUUUUUUUUUUUUUUGUUAUUCGGUUAAAAUUAUUCGUAGAGAUAUGAAAUGUUCACAGAAUACUUAUAUUAGCCUUUUACAGACGUGGUUAAAUUAAGAUAUUCUAGAGAUUUUUGAGCUAUUUAUUCGCAUUUUAUAUUUUAUAGGUUUUUUAAGUUUCUAUUUGAUAAGUAAUAAAUGGAUAAAAUUGUUUGACCAAAAAGAAAUGCUUGGAUAUUUAACACGAGGUUAAUUAUAAGCUGUACUUUAUGGGGGAGAAAGGGGGGAAGUGUAAUGUAGUAAUUUUUUUUUUAAGCAUUUUAAUAUAAUUUUCAAUGUAAAAUUUUAUAAAAAAAUCGUAAAUAUUACGACAUUUCAAAACACAUGUGUAGCUGAACUUCACUUCGGAAUCAUAUUUCGUUAACAAUGGUUUGUUGUUAAGUACAAACAUACAUUUUCCCAAUUUUCCACGAUAAUAAACAUUACGAAAAACUAUGCGUUAGCUAAGAAUAUUUAUUUAAUAAUAAUAUGCAUUUUGUUUAUUGACGUUUCCAAACAAAAUACACAACGAUACGCGUAUGUAAUCGUAUCGUAGUAAAUUAUUAGUUUCUUAAAUUUGUUUUAUUAACUUUCGUUUUUCAAUAUUUAUUUUUCUGAAAUUUUCGUAAUCAUUCCGUUCGAAUCUUUCAAUAGUUUGUUAAGUUUUUUUCAUCGGUAUAAUAGAAGUGUUUUAUAGUUUCGUAUAAAUCUUUUUUUUCUUUCUUUUAUGCCUAGUUUUUUCUCGAUUUAUUUGCACGCGAACUCUUCAAGCCGAGACUGCUGGUUGCUGCGGAACGACUUCGAGGUUCGAGGACCGGGAUUCGGUGAUC